GAUGAACGCUGGCGGCGUGCUUAACACAUGCGAGUCGAACGAAGCAUUUAGGACAGAUUACUUCGGUUUGAAGUUCUUUAUGACUGAGUGGCGGACGGGUGAGUAACGCGUGGGUAACCUGCCUUGUACUGGGGGAUAGCAGCUGGAAACGGCUGGUAAUACCGCAUAAGCGCACAAUGUUGCAUGACAUGGUGUGAAAAACUCCGGUGGUAUAAGAUGGACCCGCGUCUGAUUAGCUAGUUGGUGAGAUAACAGCCCACCAAGGCGACGAUCAGUAGCCGACCUGAGAGGGUGACCGGCCACAUUGGGACUGAGACACGGCCCAGACUCCUACGGGAGGCAGCAGUGGGGAAUAUUGCACAAUGGAGGAAACUCUGAUGCAGCGACGCCGCGUGAGUGAAGAAGUAAUUCGUUAUGUAAAGCUCUAUCAGCAGGGAAGAUAGUGACGGUACCUGACUAAGAAGCUCCGGCUAAAUACGUG
rnacentral:rRNA from 1 species